rnacentral:ribozyme from 1 species
GGUACGAGCAGUCUGCCCGAAAAUCUUUGAAACUCCCGGCUCGAAGACUUGGCCUCAAGAUAUUGCCCCUUCCUGCUUUUCGCCCGGGUGGGCUGGUACGACAGGAUUCCGCC